GUAGGGAAUAUUGGACAAUGGGGGGAACCCUGAUCCAGCCAUGCCGCGUGGAGGAAGACUGCCCUCUGGGUUGUAAACUCCUUUUAUAUGGGAAGAACCGUCCUCAUUAAUGAGUGACCUGACGGUACCAUAGGAAUAAGCACCGACUAACUCCGUGCCAGCAGCCGCGGUAAUACGGAGGGUGCAAGCGUUAUCCGGAUUCACUGGGUUUAAAGGGUGCGUAGGCGGAUAAAUAAGUCAGUGGUGAAAUCAACGGGCUCAACCUGUUAACUGCCAUUGAUACUGUGUAUCUUGAAUAUGAGAGAGGUAGGCGGAAUGUUGCAUGUAGCGGUGAAAUGCUUAGAUAUGCUACGGAACACCGAUUGCGAAGGCAGCUUACUAUUUCGUAAUUGACGCUGAGGCACGAAAGCGUGGGUAGCGAACAGGAUUAGAAACCCUUGUAGUCC
rnacentral:rRNA from 1 species